rnacentral:rRNA from 1 species
UACGGGAGGCAGCAGUGGGGAAUAUUGCACAAUGGGCGCAAGCCUGAUGCAGCCAUGCCGCGUGUAUGAAGAAGGCCUUCGGGUUGUAAAGUACUUUCAGUCGUGAGGAAGGUGUUAAGGUUAAUAACCUUAGCAAUUGACGUUAGCGACAGAAGAAGCACCGGCUAACUCCGUGCCAGCGGCCGCGGUAAUACGGAGGGUGCGAGCGUUAAUCGGAAUUACUGGGCGUAAAGGGCACGCAGGCGGUUAAUUAAGUUGGAUGUGAAAUCCCCGGGCUUAACCUGGGAAUGGCAUUCAAGACUGGUUAGCUAGAGUCUUGUAGAGGGGGUAGAAUUCCAUGUGUAGCGGUGAAAUGCGUAGAGAUGUGGAGGAAUACCGGUGGCGAAGGCGGCCCCUGGACAAAGACUGACGCUCAUGUGCGAAAGCGUGGGGAGCAAACAGGGAUUAGAUACC